UACAGAGGUCUCAAGCGUUGUUCGGAUUCAUUGGGCGUAAAGGGUGCGUAGGUGGCAGGGUAAGUCGGAUGUGAAAUCCCGGGGCUCAACCUCGGAACUGCAUUCGAUACUGCUUUGCUUGAGUACUGGAGAGGAGAUUGGAAUUUACGGUGUAGCAGUGAAAUGCGUAGAUAUCGUAAGGAAGACCAGUGGCGAAGGCGGAUCUCUGGACAGUUACUGACACUGACGCUCAUGCACGAAAGCGUGGGGAGCAAACAGG
rnacentral:rRNA from 1 species